rnacentral:rRNA from 1 species
UACGUAGGGUGCGAGCGUUAAUCGGAUUUACUGGGCGUAAAGCGUGCGCAGGCGGCCCGUUAAGACAGGUGUGAAAUCCCUGGGCUCAACCUAGGAAUUGCGCUUGUGACUGGCGGGCUCGAGUACGGUAGAGGGGGGUGGAAUUCCUGGUGUAGCAGUGAAAUGCGUAGAGAUCAGGAGGGACACCGAUGGCGAAGGCAGCCCCCUGGGCCUGUACUGACGCUCAUGCACGAAAGCGUGGGGAGCAAACAGG